rnacentral:misc_RNA from 1 species
GGACCAUGGAGGUAUCCCCUGGACAUCCGGAGAUAAAAUAAUGCUCCGUUCAACUACGACGCAGGAGCCAAUAAGCUAUGGUUACAUGCGAUCAGUUACAACGAAAGCAAAAGCUCCAGCCCAAGCACGGCAAAUGGGAGCAGUCAAAGUGUCUAUGCUGAGUCCUGGAAUCAUAUAUGAGCCUUAUGUCCCUCGUGAGAAAAUCCCAUUUUGGAAGCGGUAUUUCACUAGAAAUGGUUGGAAAAGGACAAAGGAGGAUCUUACUUCAGAGCUAAAAAGUGCAUACGCCAUUGCUAAAUUACGAAAAGCUGGAUAUUCAAAACAAAAGUUCUAUACUGAAGCUGUUAGCAUAUACAAAGAGAUAAAUACCCAAAUGGCAAACGGAGGAAAGGGAACUUUGAGGAAAUUAGUUACGGAGCAUAUGUACUCUGCUCUCAAGAAUGAGAUCAAGCAACGAGAAUCAGUGUGGCCUACUGUCUACUGGGAAUUAAUUGAACCAAUUGUAAAAGUGCGAACUCUGCGAGCUCGAUUGAUUGGUGUUGAUCGAAAUGAUCUGAGUAAGGUGUUCAUACAGCUUACACUUGAGUUUCUGGCUAAGCAGAAGUUUGAGGCAUAUGAUGGGAAAGGAGCUGUUGUCUCUGGAGAUCGAAACAAGGAGGUCUUGGUUCGUGAUAUAUGGGUUUUUGAGAAGUCUCUCUUCCAUCCUGGAGCAUACUGGCGUUUAUGUGGACGAAUCAAAGUUUAGAUAGACUAUUGUGAAGAGGGAGUGAUACACUUCAAUUUUGUAAGAUGCUAAGAUUUGUAACCUAUCCAAUCCUUAGACGCUACAUAUCUUUGUUUCUCUCAAGCUAAUUAGUUGGGACUUCCUCAUGGGUCGAAGAGUACUUUUGUGUGCUUUAUCCCGGAGUCCAUUCAGAAAAUUUCCUUCAUUCUUGUGUAUCCGCCAUUUUAUGACUUAAUAAGCAGGUGUGGUCCUGAAUAAUCGUUCUUAGAAGAAAACCUUUAAAGAUGUAUUUUUAGAUUUUUGUAUUUGUUUUGAAGUGUUGUCAGUGUGAUUUAAGGGAAUGUCUAUUGUUUGACUUAGUGAAAAUUGUAUAAAAAGAAGUAUACUCCUUGCUUCUUUGCUUGGUAAAUAGUAA